GAGAGUGAAGUGUGGAAUUUUCUUCAGUGUCUGCCUUAUAUCUCACAGCUCAGUUUCUCUUCUUCAUUCUUACUGCCAAGUCAAACCAAGUCUAUGUGGGGAGGUGGAGAGACAGAGAAGCAGCCAGGAGAGAAGAUACUGGAGCUUUUGUCAUCAGUCUGUAAAAGAUUCCCUUUCAAUUACACAACCAAAGCUGAUGGUGGUUAUAUGAAACUUCACUCUGCUUUCCUGCUGGAUCUGUACUCCCAUGUGAAGGACUAUGAGACUAAAAUGGGCUUGAGUGUCCUUCCAUCAUUACAGUCAGUUUUCCAGUCAGCUCCUGCAGUCUGGUUCAUAAACCUCUCAGAGAGAAAGACCUCCAUCCUCCUGGAAGUGCUGAAACUCCAACCAGAGAAGAAACA